CGCCAGCACCGGGCCCCUCUGACGUGUAUCGCCGGAUCGACCGUGAUGUCGGUGCUCUACC
rfam:Rhizobium sp. NT-26 chromosome, complete genome.